AAUGUUUUUCUCAAUCUUUGUCUCUUCCAUUUUGUAUGUUUUUAUUGUUGUGACACAGGGGCUCAGCUGUGAAAGAGACCUUGGUCUCAGACGAUUUCUCUGCAUAAAGAUAAUAGGAAGAAAAAGAAAACAACAGUUCAGAAACACUCUCCAGAAGAACACAAUACAUGAAAAACGCUCAACAAAGAUAGAUGGCAUCUUUCCACUGUCUGACAGAUGAUCUGCAAAUGGAGAAAAGAUCAGAUCACUGGCAAGAUGCUUAUACAAGUCUCUAAGACUUGGUCCUGUCUGAGGGCCGUAAACCAGCAGCGGGAAGAUCCAGACUGAAACCAGAUGCUGAUGGAGGAGAAAUCGAGACUCAUCAGACCAGGCAACAUUCUUCCAGUCUUCAACUGUCCAAUUUUGGUGAGCUUGUGCUAAUUGUAGCCUCUUUUCCCUAUUUGUAGUGAAGAUGAGUGGUACCCGGUGGGGUCUUCUGCUGUUGUAGCCCAUCCGCCUCAAGGUUGUGCGUGUUGUGGCUUCACAAAUGCUUUGCUGUAUACCUCGGUUGUAACGAGUGGUUAUUUCAGUCAAAGUUGCUCUUCUAUCAGCUUGAAUCAGUUGGCCCAUUCUCCUCUGUCCUCUAGCAUCAUCAAGGCAUUUUCGCC
ensembl:lncRNA